UAAGAAAAUUAGUUCCUUGUAUGUGAAGCAUAAGUUUUCAUCAAACAUCUCUUUACUGACACAAAACAUGACACAGAAAAAGCCGCUAACACUGCAUAUUACCACUACCUUUCAAUACCAAACAAAAUCACUACAUCAAACAGACUAAGACUAAAGUAUAACUAAAACACACCUUGUUACACCUCUAUAUUAAGUUUUUCUCCCUCAAAUUUUUUAGUUUUGCUACAUAGAAUAGACAAAUAUUGGUCAAAACAUGAAACAUAGCUCUAAGGAAGGAAUCCAUU
rnacentral:lncRNA from 1 species